CAUUUUGUGUUUAACAACCUUGUGACCUAUAGUUGCUGACAGUAUCCACAGUGCUUGCCUCAUAGCUAGGGCUACAUAACAACAAAUCAUCAACAUUUUGCAAAAAGGACGGAACCAUGACCGGUGGUCCAUGUUUUUUAGAGUAUGUUGGAGUACCAACGAAUAAACAGCUGGGGAAUCCACAUAGCCUUGGGUAAGCGUGUCCAGGUAAACUGGCAGCCUUCAAAAAGUAAAAACCAUAAGUAGCUGUGUCUCUUGAUCAAUAGGUAUAGAAAAAAUGCAUUACUUAAAUCAAUGACAGUGAAGCAAGUGGCAUCAUGUGGAAUGGCUGUAAUGAGGGAU